rnacentral:lncRNA from 10 species
CAGAAGAGAAUGGGGAAGUGAGCCUGGGGAGCAGAGGCAGAGAAUCAAGGUGUGUGCUCCAGCAGGGGCCGCUGUGGACAACUUCAGCUCAGUCCUGGGAGGAACCCUGGAGAACCAGUGUGAGUGCACACACAGACACACAUACACAGACACACACACAGAGACACACACGCAGAUACACACACAAAGAGACACAGACACAAAUAGACACACAGAUACAGGCACACACACAGACACAGACACACAUGCAGAUACACAGAGAGACACAGACACAAAUAGACACACAGAUACUGACACACACACAGACACAGACACAUACACAGAGACACACAGAGACACAGACACACAUACACAGACACACAGACACAGAUACACACACACAGACACACAGAUACACACACAGAGACACACACACACACACACACCAGCACUGUUCCUCCUGGGGCAAGGGAGCUCAGGUCUGCACACACACUGGCAGAGUCUCUGGGUGAGGGGUGCUCCCGGCCUGUUGCUUGUGUGCACCUGCGUGUACAUGCAGACCUGCUCUUCUGGGGAAAGCUUCCAGGCACGGAGAAGCAGGCUCUGCUGUGGAGGUGGGCAGGAGCCAUCAGGACGGGCAGGAGGAAUAAGGCAGGUGCCUCAUCAAGGCCUCACUCUAACGGGCAAGAGGGAGAGGUGAACGCCAGAGGGUGAGUGGAGAGGUCCUAAAGAGACUGAUGGUGGAAACACAAGGUUAUCUGAGGGAAGCAACUUCAUGGGCUUUGCCAUGCCUGCCCCAGCACAGGAGGGCAGUGCUGAGCUAAGGGCUCUCCCCCACUGCCCCUGCAGGAUCCAGACACCCAGCAGCUUGCUAGAUAAGCAGGCAGAUAAGCAACUGGAUCCUGCCAUUGUUUCCCUUAGCGGAGGAAGAGGAAGACGGACAGCCCACAGCCCCUCUGCCUGCCAAC